rfam:Salmo salar isolate Sally breed double haploid chromosome ssa12, whole genome shotgun sequence.
UAUGCACUCUACUGUAAGUCACUCUGGAUAAGAGCGUCUGCUAAAUGACUAAAU